GUACACGCUGUGACUAGCAUAUCAAUAAGCGGAGGAAAAGGAAACUAACAAGGAUUCCCCCUAGUAACGGCGAGUGAAGCGGGAAGAGCUCAAAUUUGAAAUCUUAAAGGGUUUCCCUUUACGAAUUGUAGUUUAAAGAAGUGUUUUCUGUUGAGGUUUUGGUAAAAGUUCUUUGGAAUAGGACAUCAUAGAGGGCUGAGAAUCCCGUAUUUGACCUUUACUUUCAACUUUGUGAUACACUUUCAAAGAGUCGGAUUGUUUGGGAAUGCAGUCCAAAAUGGGUGGUAAAUUUCAUCUAAAGCUAAAUAUUGGCGAGAGACCGAUAGCGAACAAGUACCGUGAGGGAAAGAUGAAAAGAACUUUGAAAAGAGAGUUAAACAGUACGUGAAAUUGUCAAAAGGGAAGCGUUUGACACCAGUGUUGUUUUUCUGAAAAUCAAUUAAAGAACUGUUUAUGCUAAGUUGUUUAGACUUUAUCAGCUAACUGUUUAGUUUUGAGCUUUUCUUUAAUGCACUUCUCAGUUAACGAGUCAACAUCAAUUUCUUUUGCUGUAAAAAAGCUUGAGGAAGGUGGCUUGAGAUUCGUCUUAAGUGUUUAUAGCCUCUUGCCUAUGCAGUCGGAGAGAUUGAGGUCUGCAGCGUAGAUCCUUCGGGGCUAAAUGCAUUUGUGCUAGGUUAUAGCAUUUUAUAGACAACUUGUUGACUAUGAUUUGUCUUGUAGCUUACUCGCUUAUGUUAUUUUACCUACGCUUAGGAUGUUGAGUCGUAGAGCACGCAG
rnacentral:rRNA from 1 species